rnacentral:rRNA from 1 species
UGGGGAAUAUUGCACAAUGGGCGCAAGCCUGAUGCAGCAACGCCGCGUGAACGAUGAAGGUCUUCGGAUCGUAAAGUUCUGUUGCAGGGGAAGAUAAUGACUGUACCCUGUGAGGAAGCCCCGGCUAACUACGUGCCAGCAGCCGCGGUAAUACGUAGGGGGCUAGCGUUAUCCGGAUUUACUGGGCGUAAAGGGUGCGUAGGUGGUCCUUCAAGUCGGUGGUUAAAGGCUACGGCUCAACCGUAGUAAGCCGCCGAAACUGGAGGACUUGAGUGCAGGAGAGGAAAGUGGAAUUCCCAGUGUAGCGGUGAAAUGCGUAGAUAUUGGGAGGAACACCAGUAGCGAAGGCGGCUUUCUGGACUGCAACUGACACUGAGGCACGAAAGCGUGGGUAGCAAACAGG